rnacentral:rRNA from 1 species
UGAGCAAUCUGCCCUUCUCUUCGGAAUAAGCGUUGGAAACGACGUCUAAUGCCGAGUACGACCUCCUUUCGCAUGAUCGGAGGUGGAAAGCUCCGGCGGAGAAGGAUGAGCUCGCGGCCUAUCAGCUAGUUGGUGUGGGUAAUUGCCCACCAAGGCGACGACGGGUAGCCGGCCUGAGAGGGUGACCGGCCACACUGGGACUGAGACACGGCCCAGACCUCCGUACGGGAGGNAGCG